AAGUGCCGAGUGCAGGAGAGGAAUGGAGCUGGAGGGUGGACAGGGAGGAUUCACACAGACCCGGUGUAGGACUCCAAACCCGGAUUAGAAACUCUCGGAGCCGAGUUUACACCGAGUGUUUGGAAACUCCUUUUCUAGGGGGUUAGAAAGGGAGGAUAUACACACAGCAAACUCAAACCAAGAGAAAUGUUUGUCUCUUCUCAAUUUCUACCCUGGACUGACAGUGAUGGGUUUUUCAAGAAUCUCUAUUUCACAGGAUAUUGAAAGGGAAGGAUUUGCUGACGGGAAAACUCAAGCCAAACAGCACAUUGUGAUCUGAUACAGUCAUUUGAUUCACCAGAACCUGAAUAUCAUCAGCCUUUGGCUGUGGAAGGAAAAAGGUUUGACAUUCAUCCGUGACACCAGAAAAGAGAUCCAAUGCUCUGCCUACAAGAUCCAGGGCCUCCGAUGACAUCGCCUGGCUACUCUCAGUUAACUCCAUCUGCAAGAGAAACUCUGCAAACUCUGUUUCUUGUUCCCAGGAGAUCAGUCUAAGCUCUGCUGUGACACUAAGCAAGGGAGGCAGUGUUCCUGUACAUGGGGGCAGGUUCACCUCCUCAUCAACCAAUCUCUGAAUUCCCAUCUUUCUCCAUCCAACCUCCACACACACCAGUGAGUUCAGACUGGAGAGAGAGGGUUUAAAUGCUUAGGCUGUGACAAGUGCUUUAAAAAUUCACAUUCACUGAUGUUUCACCAGACCAUUCACUGCUCUCACUACAGGUGGAGGUUCAGGUGAUUGACAAUCCUGCUGCUACACCAGUGAGUUCACACCAGGGAGAGAUCAUUCACCUGCUCCAUGUAUGGGGAGGGAUUCAUUGAUUCAUCCAACCUGUUGACACAAGUGAGUUCACACUGAUGGAAGAUCUUUUGAAUGUCUGGAUUGCAGGAAAUGUUAUAAAUGUUCAAUGGAGUUGAUGUGCCAUCAAUGUGUUCACACUGAUGAGAGACAGUUCAGAUGCUCUCACUGGGUUCAGGUGAUCAUGUGAGUUCAGUGUCCACAAGUGCACUCACACUGGGGAGAGAGGCUGUUCAUUUGUUCCUUGUGUGAGAAGAGAUUCACUUAUUCAUCCCACUUCACUACAAAUCGACUUGUUCACACUGAGAAGAAACCUUUUUAAAGUUCUCACUAUGAGCGGAGAUUUGAAAGCAAAAUGGAUUCGCUGAAACACAAACAUAUUCACACUGGGGAGAGGCUCUUCACCUGUGUGUGGGAAGAGAUUCACUUACUGAGACACAAGCGGGGUUGGAUUCUGCUGUCAUUGCUGCUGUCAAUCACAUCAAGGACUGAACCAUGUUCAUUCUGAGAGUUGGGGUAUGCUUCUGCUCAUGUUAAUAAUCCCUGAAACCGGGCUGGUGUUUAAUAUUCUGGAUAAAUGUGAAAUAAAUCACUUACAGUUCAA